rnacentral:rRNA from 1 species
GAUGAACGCUGGCGGCGUGCUUAACACAUGCAAGUCGAACGGAAAGGCUCCUGCUUGCAGGGGUUCUUGAGUGGCGAACGGGUGAGUAACACGUGGGUGAUCUGCCCUGCACUUCGGGAUAAGCCUGGGAAACUGGGUCUAAUACCGGAUAGGACGAUGGUUUGGAUGCCAUUGUGGAAAGUUUUUUCGGUGUGGGAUGAGCUCGCGGCCUAUCAGCUUGUUGGUGGGGUAAUGGCCUACCAAGGCGUCGACGGGUAGCCGGCCUGAGAGGGUGUACGGCCACAUUGGGACUGAGAGACGGCCCAGACUCCUACGGGAGGCAGCAGUGGGGAAUAUUGCACAAUGGGCGCAAGCCUGAUGCAGCGACGCCGCGUGGGGGAUGACGGCCUUCGGGUUGUAAACUCCUUUCGCUAGGGACGAAGCGCAAGUGACGGUACCUGGAGAAGAAGCACCGGCUAACUACGUG